UACAGAGGUCCCAAGCGUUGUUCGGAUUUACUGGGCGUAAAGGGUGCGUAGGUGGCGGGUAAGUCUGGUGUGAAAGCUCCGAGCUCAACUCGGAAAAGCAUUGGAAACUAUCCCGCUUGAGGGUCGGAGGGGAGACUGGAAUUCUCGGUGUAGCAGUGAAAUGCGUAGAUAUCGAGAGGAACACCAGUGGCGAAGGCGAGUCUCUGGACGACUCCUGACACUGAGGCACGAAAGCUAGGGGAGCAAACAGG
rnacentral:rRNA from 1 species